CUACAGGCUUAACACAUGCAAGUCGAGGGGCCUUUUGGUCUUAGCUUGCUAAGGCCGAUGGCGACCGGCGCACGGGUGAGUAACACGUAUCCAACCUGCCGUCUACUCUUGGACAGCCUUCUGAAAGGAAGAUUAAUACAAGAUGGCAUCAUGAGUCCGCAUGUUCACAUGAUUAAAGGUAUUCCGGUAGACGAUGGGGAUGCGUUCCAUUAGAUAGUAGGCGGGGUAACGGCCCACCUAGUCUUCGAUGGAUAGGGGUUCUGAGAGGAAGGUCCCCCACAUUGGAACUGAGACACGGUCCAAACUCCUACGGGAGGCAGCAGUGAGGAAUAUUGGUCAAUGGGCGAGAGCCUGAACCAGCCAAGUAGCGUGAAGGAUGACUGCCCUAUGGGUUGUAAACUUCUUUUAUAAAGGAAUAAAGUCGGGUAUGGAUACCCGUUUGCAUGUACUUUAUGAAUAAGGAUCGGCUAACUCCGUGCCAGCAGCCGCGGUAAUACGGAGGAUCCGAGCGUUAUCCGGAUUUAUUGGGUUUAAAGGGAGCGUAGAUGGAUGUUUAAGUCAGUUGUGAAAGUUUGCGGCUCAACCGUAAAAUUGCAGUUGAUACUGGAUAUCUUGAGUGCAGUUGAGGCAGGCGGAAUUCGUGGUGUAGCGGUGAAAUGCUUAGAUAUCACGAAGAACUCCGAUUGCGAAGGCAGCCUGCUAAGCUGCAACUGACAUUGAGGCUCGAAAGUGUGGGUAUCAAACAGGAUUAGAUACCCUGGUAGUCCACACGGUAAACGAUGAAUACUCGCUGUUUGCGAUAUACUGCAAGCGGCCAAGCGAAAGCGUUAAGUAUUCCACCUGGGGAGUACGCCGGCAACGGUGAAACUCAAAGGAAUUGACGGGGGCCCGCACAAGCGGAGGAACAUGUGGUUUAAUUCGAUGAUACGCGAGGAACCUUACCCGGGCUUAAAUUGCAGAUGAAUUACGGUGAAAGCCGUAAGCCGCAAGGCAUCUGUGAAGGUGCUGCAUGGUUGUCGUCAGCUCGUGCCGUGAGGUGUCGGCUUAAGUGCCAUAACGAGCGCAACCCUUGUUGUCAGUUACUAACAGGUUCCGCUGAGGACUCUGACAAGACUGCCAUCGUAAGAUGUGAGGAAGGUGGGGAUGACGUCAAAUCAGCACGGCCCUUACGUCCGGGGCUGCACACGUGUUACAAUGGGGGGUACAGAGGGCCGCUACCACGCGAGUGGAUGCCAGUCCCCAAAACCUCUCUCAGUUCGGACUGGAGUCUGCAACCCGACUCCACGAAGCUGGAUUCGCUAGUAAUCGCGAAGCAGCCCCGGCGCGGUGAAUACGUUCCCGGGC
rnacentral:rRNA from 1 species